CCCACCUGAAUCCAUGCCGAACUCAGAAGUGAAACGCAGCAGCGCCGAUGGUAGUGUGGGGUCUCCCCAUGUGAGAGUAGGACAUCGCUAAAC
rnacentral:rRNA from 1 species